rnacentral:rRNA from 1 species
GACGAACGCUGGCGGCGUGCUUAACACAUGCAAGUCGAGCGGUAAGGCCCUUUCGGGGGUACACGAGCGGCGAACGGGUGAGUAACACGUGGGUGACCUGCCCUCAGCUCUGGGAUAAGCCUGGGAAACCGGGUCUAAUACUGGAUAUGACUCCAUGACGCAUGUUGUGGGGUGGAAAGCCUUGUGCGGCUGAGGAUGGGCCCGCGGCCUAUCAGCUUGUUGGUGGGGUGANGGCCUACCAAGGCGACGACGGGUAGCCGGCCUGAGAGGGCGACCGGCCACACUGGGACUGAGACACGGCCCAGACUCCUACGGGAGGCAGCAGUGGGGAAUCUUGCGCAAUGGGACGAAAGCCUGACGCAGCGACGCCGCGUGAGGGAUGACGGCCUGG